CGCCUGUCAGACAAACACAACUCUGAGGCGUGUCCCUAGCCUUGGAGAUUCUUUUAUCCUGUAGCCCUGGGGCAUAACUCCCCCAGUGAGCAUGUUCCUGGUCAAAAUAAAUAAUGUCAUUUUCUGAGGACGUUUUCUACAAGCUUCGUUAGAAAUGAGACUUCAGCUUUUCAGUGACUAUGAAGCUAGGGAGAUCCCAGCUGGGACGAGGACGUAGGAUCUAACUGUCCCCCGAGCCCUUCGACCCUCCCCUGAAGCUCCCAAAUAAAAUGGUUAAAGGUUUGAUCCCCAGCCCCCUGCAAAAAAAAAAAGAAAGAAAGUAAAAACGAAUUGUACCUUCACUCCUGAAACUCUCACUGCUUCUCAUUUGUACUGAAACUCUGGUGCCAGUUUGUACAUUUCUCAUAAACUUAAUCUGCAAAAUUAUUUCACCGGGAAUAUAACAGAAAAGCGUAUACUCCUGGGUGAUUCGUGCCAACCUAAUCCAAUAAUUGAGGGCAACCAGAUUGGUUACUGUCUCUUUUGGUUUCCAUUUCUAUAGGAAAUUUCCCCUCAAGACUUCUGACGCUGAAAAACUUAAUUACUCAACUGAAAAUGCCACUCACUUGUUUUCUUUGGUUUCAAAUUGCCUCCUUUCUAUCAAGUUGGCUACGCUCUGAGGGGAGAGAAAACAAGAAAUGCACAGAGUUCUACUGAAGUAGCUCAGGGUAUAUAUACCACAUGGCUCUGCAGAUAGUGAGGAUCCAAUAGAUGCCACUGAUGGAUUUAAUCUAUAAUAAAGUUAAAGCUCGAGGAAAGGGGCUUACAACUAAAGAAGAAAGGGUGUUUCUUUUGCAAAACAAGACGGAAUAUUCUGGCACAGCGAGACCCAAAUCUGGAAAGGAAUGAAGAAAGCAAAAGGCAUGCCAACACAGAUUAGCUUUAGCUCUUAGUCACAGAUGGUGGUUGUUCGGUUUCCAAGUGUGGAGCCAGGACCAGAAAGGAACGGUGCUGAGACAAUUCUCUCAUAACUCCACAAUUUGACGAUGGUACAGCUGAUCAUAGGAGAGCCACAAACUGCUGACUCACUUAAAUGCUUCAGCUCCUGCAUCUGUCAGGCUGCCUGACUGAAAGGAAAUAACCACCGGUAAGGAUACUGAUGACAUACAUUCCUCCACCGCUGUCGCCAGACUUUCCAACAAACUCUAGCUAUUAAAAAAAAAAAAAAAGGGAGCACGUGUCAUCCGAAUGGCAACAAGUCCAGUGAUUCUGUUUCCAACAGAGCAAAUCUGUCCAAGAGUAUGGAGCAGGUAGCCCUAUCAGAUGACGGUAGAGAAACUGUCUGAGCUGGCUAGAUAGAGAAUGAGGCUACAGAAGAAUGAUACUAGGUGUCAGUGGCAGAAGUAAAUCAUAAAUACAACAGAAAAAAAGAAAAAAGAAAAAAACAGACUUACUGGAUCAUCUGCCAGCAGAGUGAGAUACUGAUCAAGAACCUGCUUAGAGAUGUUAUAGCCAACAGGUAGGGACCUGAAGAUCUAUGGAACAAGAGAGACAGGGACAAUGGGUUUGGGAACUUAGAUUUGCUGACGUUGCUGAAAUAAAGAUGUUUUAUUAUACA